CCUACGGGUGGCUGCAGUGAGGAAUAUUGGUCAAUGGGCGCGAGUCUGAACCAGCCAAGUAGCGUGAAGGAUGACUGCCCUACGGGUUGUAAACUGCUUUUAUAAAGGGAUAAAGUGAGUCACGUGUGGCUUAUUGUAGGUACUGUAUGAAUAAGGAUCGGCUAAUUCCGUGCCAGCAGCCGCGGUAAUACGGAGGGUCCGAGCGUUAUCCGGAUUUAUUGGGUUUAAAGGGAGCGUAGAUGGGUUGUUAAGUCAGUUGUGAAAGGUUGCGGCUCAACCGUAAAAUUGCAGUUGAUACUGGCGGUCUUGAGUACAGCUGAGGUAGGCGGAAUUCGUGGUGUAGCGGUGAAAUGCUUAGAUAUCACGAAGAACUCCGAUUGCGAAGGCAGCUUACUAAACUGCCACUGACACUGAUGCUCGAAAGUGUGGGUAUCAAACAGGAUUAGAUACCCCUGUAGUC
rnacentral:rRNA from 1 species